rnacentral:lncRNA from 1 species
CUUCUAUCUGUGAUCUCUGUCUAUAACUAUUCCUUCACUCUACUGCUUUUGUGGCUAUUCUCUCUUUGUGAAUUUACCUUCUUUUGUGGUUUUCUAAGUAGGUAAAUUUUUAGCAACAGUAAGUGGAUGAGUGGUUGAAGAAAGUUUGGGUUGUCAUAUUGGCGUCGAUCUUUGGAGGAACUGAGCCCACAAAACACUUCGUGAUCUUAUAUUCUACACAACAUCCUUUUUUUCUUCAUGCAUAUUCAGAUAUGGAUUGGGUGGUAAUGAAGAUGAUUACUCCCCAAAAUUGGUGCUUAGCUUCUUUAUCUUGGUCGAAAUCUUAUUUUUUUAGAGCUCUAAGAGACAAACCAACAUUGCUUGUUCUUCCACAGAGGCUGAGUACCCUUUCAGUCGAUGCUACUACUGCAGAACUAAAUUGGGUUUGUUCUUUUCUCAUAGAACUUUGCUUCACUUUGCAUCAUUCUAUUGUUGUAUAUUGCGAUAAUGUUGGUGCAACUCAGCUGUGCUCUAACCUUGUUUUUCAUUCUCUAAUGAAACGUGUGGCUAUUGAUUAUUACUUUAUUCAAGAAAAAGUUCAAUCAGGUGUCUUUCAUGUGGCACAUGUUUCUUCUGCUGAUCAACUUAUAGAUGCUCUAACAAAGCCAUUAUCUCGGCCUCAAUUUUACUCGUUCCAAG